GUGCUCGCUUCGGAGCGCAUAUACUAAAAUUGGAACGCUACAGAGAAGAUCAGCAUGGCCCCUGCGCAAGGCGGACACGCAAAUUCGUGGGGCGUUCCAUAGUUUU
rnacentral:snRNA from 1 species